GAUGAACGCUGGCGGCGUGCCUAAUACAUGCAAGUAGAACGCUGAAGGAGGAGCUUGCUCUUCUGGAUGAGUUGCGAACGGGUGAGUAACGCGUAGGUAACCUGCCUGGUAGCGGGGGAUAACUAUUGGAAACGAUAGCUAAUACCGCAUGACAACAGUUAUUGCAUGAUAACUGUUUAAAAGCGGCAACUGCUCCACUACCAGAUGGACCUGCGUUGUAUUAGCUAGUUGGUGAGGUAACGGCUCACCAAGGCGACGAUACAUAGCCGACCUGAGAGGGUGAUCGGCCACACUGGGACUGAGACACGGCCCAGACUCCUACGGGAGGCAGCAGUAGGGAAUCUUCGGCAAUGGACGGAAGUCUGACCGAGCAACGCCGCGUGAGUGAAGAAGGUUUUCGGAUCGUAAAGCUCUGUUGUAAGAGAAGAACGAGUGUGAGAGUGGAAAGUUCACACUGUGACGGUAUCUUACCAGAAAGGGACGGCUAACUACGUG
rnacentral:rRNA from 1 species